rnacentral:misc_RNA from 1 species
UCUCCGUAGGUGAACCUGCGGAGGGAUCAUUACCGAGUGAGGGCUCACGCCCGACCUCCAACCCUUUGUAAUCCAUACCAUGUUGCCUCGGGGGCGACCCUGCCGUUCGCGGCGUGGGGCCCCCGGAGCCCAUCAAACCCUGCGUAACUAAGUCGUCGGAGUUUAAACAAAUUAAACAAAACUUUCAACAACGGAUCUCUUGGUUCGGGCAUCGAUGAAGAACGCAGC